AGAGUUUGAUCCUGGCUCAGAAUGAACGCUGGCGGCAUGGAUUAGGCAUGCAAGUCGAGCGGAGCACGAUCUUUCGGGAACGUGCUUAGCGGCGAAAGGGUGAGUAACACGUGAGUAACCUACCCUCGGAAUCGGGAUAGCCCCGGGGAAACCGGGAUUAAUACCGAAUGCGGGCUUCGGUCGCCUGGCCGGACACCCAAAGGUCUUCGGGCCGUCCGAGGAGGGGCUCGCGUCCCAUUAGCUUGUUGGUAGGGUAACGGCCUACCAAGGCAAUGACGGGUAGCUGGUCUGAGAGGAUGGUCAGCCACACUGGGACUGAGACACUGCCCAGACUCCUACGGGAGGCUGCAGUCGAGAAUCUUCCGCAAUGGGCGCAAGCCUGACGGAGCGAUGCCGCGUGGGGGAUGAAGGCCUUCGGGUUGUAAACCCCUGUCACCCGGGACGAAUCACUGACGGUACCGGGAGAGGAAGCCACGGCUAACUACGUGCCAGCAGCCGCGGUAAUACGUAGGUGGCGAGCGUUAUUCGGAUUUACUGGGCGUAAAGGGUCCGCAGGGGGUCGGCCAAGUCUGAUGUGAAAUCCCGGGGCUCAACCCCGGAACCGCAUUGGAAACUGGCUGACUGGAGUGCACGAGGGGAGAGCAGAAUUCCCGGUGUAGCGGUGGAAUGCGUAGAUAUCGGGAGGAAUACCGAUGGCGAAGGCGGCUCUCUGGCGUGCUACUGACCCUCAGGGACGAAAGCGUGGGUAGCAAACAAGAUUAGAUACCCUGGUAGUCCACGCUGUAAACGUUGUGCACUAGAUGUGGGUGGAUUUUUUUGGUCCUGCCCGUGUCCAAGCUAACGCGUUAAGUGCACCGCCUGGGGACUACGGCCGCAAGGCUAAAACUCAAAGGAAUUGACGGGUGCCCGCACAAGCGGUGGAGCAUGUGGCUCAAUUCGAGGCAACGCGAAGAACCUUACCAGGGCUUGACAUAUACCGGACCGCCUGUGAAAGCAGGUUUCCCCUUUGGGGCUGGUAUACAGGUGCUGCAUGGCUAUCGUCAGCUCGUGCCGUGAGGUGUUCGGUUAAGUCCGGCAACGAGCGCAACCCGUGUCGUCAGUUGCUACCAGGUUAUGCUGGGCACUCUGGCGAGACUGCCCGUGUCAAGCGGGAGGAAGGCGCGGAUGAGGUCAAGUCCGUAUGGCCCUUACGCCCUGGGCUGCACACGUGCUACAAUGGGCGGUACAGUGGGAAGCAAUACCGCGAGGUGGAGCGAAUCCCCAAAACCGUCCCCAGUUCGGAUUGGAGUCUGCAAUUCGACUCCAUGAAGCCGGAAUCGCUAGUAAAGGCGUAUCAGCAACGACGCCUUGAAUACGUUCCCGGGCGUUGUACACACCGCCCGUCACAUCAUGGAAGCUGGCUGCACCCGAAGUCGCUGACCUAACCCGCAAGGGAAGGAGGCGCCGAAGGUGUGUCCAGUGACUGGGAUGAAGUCGUAACAAGGUA
rnacentral:rRNA from 1 species